GGUAGCAGCAGAAGUAGUGUCCAACAUGUCCAUAACAAAAGCGUACUGUGUUGGAAUAUCAAUAUUGGUACCCAGCAAUGCAAGGUGAUAUGUCCAUUAUACGUUGAUCAAUGCAAAAAUAUGUUUAAUGCAUUCCGGAAUAAAUUCCUCAAAGAUGCGACAAACGUUCAGAAAAAAGAAUGCCCAUCAUUUCUGUUGUGUCUUUGCCUCUCCAGGGUAGAGGAUGACGUUUCAAAUGCAAUAAAAGCAGCUGGUGAGCUCCCAAAGAAUCAUAUGGUUAUCGGGCUGCAGCACUGCGAGAAGACUGUCACACCAAGCAAAUGUCUCAAAGAGGGGCACCUAAAGAAUGGAACCUGCUUCGCAAAUGUUCUUUAUAGUGAACGGGAAAAGAAAUGUUACAACUGUGAAAGCAACGUCACUGCCCAAAAAAAAGUCCUUGCAUAUUUAAAUGACAAAGAAUUAUAUGGUCAUCAGACUGCAGUACCACGAGAUAAUCAGUCCGGGGGAAAUUGUGAAAGAGAAUCACUUAAAGAAAAUAGCUGUGUAUUACAGUGAAAAAAAUUGAAAAUAUCACUUCUGUCAAACAAAGAAUUAAUGCAUAUUUGAAUAAGCAAUAAUACUCAUUUUCAAAGAAUUAAACGUACACCUUCUGCUAGUAAUGUAUUCUUAUUGGAUUUAUGGAAUUGAUAACUGUUCGUUAUCUUCAUCUUUCAUUAUUUCUUUAUAAAAUGUACGACUUUUCAAGUCUUUCCAUCUGAUGACGACACCUUCUCCAUCGUCAGUUUCCUGUGUUAUUUUGAUUCAUGUAUUAAUUUUCCAUUAUCAUUUGCAUAUGGUAAUUAUCACCCUAACUGACUCAAUACGCAAGAUAUUCUUCUGAGUAUGACCAGAUGUGUUUUUAAAUUGAAUCAGGUUACUGAUAGUUAAGUUGACGUUACACGGAUCUCAACAGUGUAAUUUAUAGUCAGCAUUUCGAAAAUUGUAUAAUCGUUAUAAAGACCUAGUUUGCCGAUAUAGCCUACUUGCGAGUCAAAUGCUGUCUGGCGUGUUUCAUACAGGCUGUUUGGCCAUUGUUAGGUCGUUCUUGGCAAUCUGAUAUUUAGUACGGAUCGUUCUCUUUACCUGUUCAAGAUAUAUGAUUCACGGCAGGUGUGACCGGUCGACAGAGGAUAUUUAUUCCUCCUAGGUAUCUGAUGCCUCCUCUGGUAUAUCAAGGGGUUAGGUGUUUCCCAACUCUUUAUUGGCAUACUAUAAAACCUGGCCUGGCCCCAUUGGCCUGGCCUGGCCUCAAAAUUGGCCUGGCCCCAAUUUUGGCCUCUAAUUAUGCUCCAUCCCAAAUUUUGGCCUAGCCUCAAAAGUUGGCCUGGCCUCAAAUUUGGCCUCUAAAAAAAAUUUUGGCCUCAACCAAAAAAAUUUUUUCUUCAAAAUUUUGAUGGAUUUGAUUGAUUUAUUAUUGGUUUUAGUUUUUCAAAGUCAUAGCACAUAAAUGAUGUGUUUCUGUUGUUUUGUAAAUGUGUACUUUGAAAUAAUCAUGAACUACCACCAAUCUGAUUGAUUUUAUUGAUUAUCUAUUGAUCAGUGUAUUGAAUAAAUCAUUUUCUUUUCCCUUCAUAUUUGUAUGUACCAGUACACACCAAAACCGAUUGCACAACCAAUGAAACAAUUGGCAUAUUGAUUUUGUUUCAGAAUUAUGAUUAAUUUCAUUGAUUUAUUAUUGGUGUUAGUUUUUCAAAGUUGUAGAAAUAAAAUGAUAUAUGUACAUUAAAAUAAACAUGAAAUACUACCAAUCUGAUUGAUUUUAUUGAUUAUCAAUUGAUUAGUUUAUUGACAAAAUCAUUUGCUUAAGUAUACUGAUGAAAUGAUUGAUUUAUUGAUACAUUUUGUAUUCAAUAGAAUCCAAUUUGAUAUCAAUUUGCAUAUUAUGAAAGUGUUACAAUUGUGUUGUCAUUAUAAUGAAUUCGAUUUUAAGAGCACCGCACAUUCAGAACAGAGCAUUUUCAAUGUGCAGAUACCACGCAUUUAGUGUUACUUGUUUAAUUUCCAAUGCAUGAUAAAUGACAUUUUUUUUUAAACAAUCAAAAUAAACACAGUGAAGUGUUUGCUAGCAUAAUGAUAUUAGCCAGUGAUCUAAGGAUUUUAGAUUUGUAUUUUAGUCUUCAUUUAUCUAUACUUUACGUAGAAUGAACAAUGUUGCAUGAUUAAAACGGAUAUGAUGUAUUAUAAAUAUUUCUUUCUUGAUUUCAUAAUUAAGUUUCAAUAUUCAUUGCAAAAGUGACAAGUUCCCAUGCUCUGAAGGCCUGCCCUGUCAGGAUA